GCGGCAGGCUAACACAUGCAAGUCGAGCGGUAACAGAAAGUAGCUUGCUACUUUGCUGACGAGCGGCGGACGGGUGAGUAAUGCUUGGGAACAUGCCUUGAGGUGGGGGACAACAGUUGGAAACGACUGCUAAUACCGCAUAAUGUCUACGGACCAAAGGGGGCUUCGGCUCUCGCCUUUAGAUUGGCCCAAGUGGGAUUAGCUAGUUGGUGAGGUAAUGGCUCACCAAGGCAACGAUCCCUAGCUGGUUUGAGAGGAUGAUCAGCCACACUGGAACUGAGACACGGUCCAGACUCCUACGGGAGGCAGCAGUGGGGAAUAUUGCACAAUGGGCGAAAGCCUGAUGCAGCCAUGCCGCGUGUGUGAAGAAGGCCUUCGGGUUGUAAAGCACUUUCAGUCAGGAGGAAAGGGUGUGAGUUAAUACCUCACAUCUGUGACGUUACUGACAGAAGAAGCACCGGCUAACUCCGUGCCAGCAGCCGCGGUAAUACGGAGGGUGCGAGCGUUAAUCGGAAUUACUGGGCGUAAAGCGUACGCAGGCGGUUUGUUAAGCGAGAUGUGAAAGCCCCGGGCUCAACCUGGGAACUGCAUUUCGAACUGGCAAACUAGAGUGUGAUAGAGGGUGGUAGAAUUUCAGGUGUAGCGGUGAAAUGCGUAGAGAUCUGAAGGAAUACCGAUGGCGAAGGCAGCCACCUGGUCAACACUGACGCUCAUGUACGAAAGCGUGGGGAGCAAACGGGAUUAGAUACCCCGGUAGUCCACGCCGUAAACGAUGUCUACUAGAAGCUCGGAACCUCGGUUCUGUUUUUCAAAGCUAACGCAUUAAGUAGACCGCCUGGGGGAGUACGGCCGCAAGGUUAAAACUCAAAUGAAUUGACGGGGCCGACAGGUGAGCAUGUGGUUAUUCGAUGAACGGGAGA
rnacentral:rRNA from 1 species